GACGAACGCUGGCGGCGUGCUUAACACAUGCAAGUCGAACGGACAGGCCCUGAUUUUGUGGGGUGCUCGAGUGGCGAACGGGUGAGUGAAACGUGAGUAAAAUGCACUUGACUUUGGGAUAAAAUCAGGAGACAGGGGAUAAUACAGGGUAGGAGAUCCUGAUGCAUGGGGGGGGAUGGAAAGAUUCGGCGGUUGGGGAUGGAUUAGCGGGAUAUGCGCUAGUUGGUGGGGUAGUGGAUUACCAAGGCUUCGAAGGGUAGCCGGCCUUAGAGGGUGACCGGCCACAUGGGGACUGAGGUACGGCCCAGUCGCCUACGUGAGGCAGCAGUGGGGAAUAUUGCACAAUGGGCGGACGCCUGAUGCAGCAGCGCCGCGUGCGGGAUGACGGCCUUCUGGUUGUAAACCGCUUUCGCCGGUGACGAAGCGGGAUUGACGGUAAUGGGUAAAGAAGCACCGGCUAACUACGUG
rnacentral:rRNA from 1 species